rnacentral:rRNA from 1 species
UGGGGUUAAAUUAAUAAAAUAAUAUAAUAAUAAAAAAAUUUAUAAUUAAAUAUUUAAUGGGGGUUAAAGUAUUUAUUUAGAAAAAAUUUUUAUAUUUAUAGUGAAUUAGUAUUGUGAAAGAAUUUUGAAAAAUUUUGAAAAUAAAUUAAUUAAAAAGUAAAUUUAAUUUAUUAUAUCUUGUGUAUCAGAGUUUAUUUAAUAAGUAUUUUUAAAUAAAAAUAUCUCGAAUUUAAAAGAGAUAAUUAGUUAAUAAAGUUAAUGUUGAAUAAUUAUUUUUAAUAAUUAAUUUGAAAUGAAAUGUUAAUCGUUUUUAAAUAUAUCUAGUUUUUUUAGAAAAAAAUUUAAUUUUAAAUUAAAUUUUUUUUUAUUAAUUAAUUUCAAAAUUAAUAAUAAAUUUAAUUAAAUAUUUUAAGGGAUAAGCUUUAAAUUAAAAUUUUAUAAUAAUAAUUUAAACUUAAAAUAAAAUUUUUAAAAUUUAUAUUUUUUAUAAAUUAUAAUUUUUUAUAAAUAAUUUUAUUUUAAUUAAAAUUUAAUAUAUAAUUUAUUUAAAUUUUUAUAAAAAAAAUGAUUUUUAAUAAUAAAAAUUUAGUAAUAAUGAUAAAAUUAGUAUAUUUAUAAAAAAUAAAAUAAAAGGAAUUUAAUUUAAGAAAAAGGAAUUCGGCAAAUAUUUAUAUUCACUUGUUUAUCAAAAACAUGUCUUUUUGAAAAUAAUAUAAAGUCUAAUCUGCCCACUGAAGUAAAUUUAAAGGGCUGCAGUAUAUUGACUGUACAAAGGUAGCAUAAUCAAUAGUCUUUUAAUUGAAGACUGGUAUGAAUGAUUUGAUGAAAUAUAAACUGUCUCUUUUUUAAAAGUAGAAUUUAAUUUUUUAGUUAAAAAGCUAAAAUAAUUAUAAAAGACGAGAAGACCCUAUAGAGUUUAAUAAUUUUAUAUUUUUAAAUAAUUUAUAAAUUUUAUAAUUUAUAUAUAUAAAAUUAUUUUGUUGGGGUGAUAUAAAAAUUAAAAUAACUUUUUUUAAAAAUUAACAUUAAUAUAUGAAUAUAUGAUCCAUAAUUUAUGAUUAAAAGAAUAAAUUACCUUAGGGAUAACAGCGUAAUUUUUUUUUUUAGUUCUUAUAAAAAAAAGAGUUUGCGACCUCGAUGUUGGAUUAAGAUAAAAUUUAAAUGCAAAAGUUUAAAAUUUUUGAUCUGUUCGAUCAUUAAAAUCUUACAUGAUCUGAGUUCAAACCGGUGUAAGCCAGGUUGGUUUCUAUCUUUAUAGAAGAAAAAUAAUUUAGUACGAAAGGAUCAGUUAUUUUAAAUAAUUUAAUUAUUAAGAAUAUUAGUAAAAUUAUUAU